rnacentral:ncRNA from 2 species
AUCGGAAGAAGAGGUUGCACGUCUCAUCAGUCGCGACUGUUAGGUGAUUAAGCACUGUAGCAGUUGUUAAAGGGUGGCGUGCCGAAAUGGUAAGUCGCUUAAUUGGCAAACCGUUGGGUCCUGGUUGAAUAAGUCAGGGACUGUCGCAAUUACUUGAUUGCGGGGCGCUAUCGACGAU